UAUCAAUUUAAACACUAUCCUCAUCAUCAGGCCUAACUAUCAGUAGAGCAUGACUCUGACUGCUUACCUAUAGACAAUGGGGAAUAAGUGCUGUUUCUUUUUUGCAUUUUCCACUCCACUUCUUCUUCUUCUUCCUCUCCAUCUCAGUUACAAUUGUACAGAAAGAUGCGUAAAUUACUUGUCAUAGCCCUGCUGCUGCUGCUGCCUCUGAUCAACCACGGAAUCUACUUGGCAACGGCAUGGGACGAUAAAGAUUUCUUCAAAUAUUGCCCACCAUCCCAGUGCAGCGAACACGGCCCAGAGAUCAGGUAUCCUUUAUGCCUUGAAUCCAGCAAUACAUCAUCAUGUGGUUGUGGUGACAGAACAACCAGGAAGUUAGCAUGCUCUGGUCAAGACACCAUCCUUUUUCACCCCGUUCUUGGCCCAUACAAUGUUAGCGCCAUAGAUUACAGGCGUUCUUCAAUGAAGAUUAUCCCGCUUGUAGACCCAUGUUUGGUGCUCAAGCAGAAGCUCGUCAUCUCCAGAAACUCAUCAUCUCAACAAGUUGAUGUUUUCAACGAUAAGAUGCCAAGUCUUGACUUUUGGAGUUCUACAGCCCUGGUAAGCUGUUUAAGAGAGUUUGCACCUGGUGCUGCCGAUGGGAUUGCUGGCCCGGUCUCCUGCCUUAGCAACACAACCCACUUCUUUUAUUUGGUGGAUGGUGUUGAAGACAUGUCUUCUCUUCCGUUGGACUGCAAGGUCAUCCCAGUCUCAGAUGGUGUCCGUGGCAGUCUGAUACCCAUGUAUUGGAUUUGCGGCCCAUUAUACUUCCCACAGCACUUCAAGAAACAUGCAGAAACAUUCCUCAGUUCUGCUGAGACCACGGUGUGUUUUGGUUCUUACCCUUGCGGACAUUGUGAGCGCAGUGGGCGAAGCUGCGCUUUCAGCUCAGAACGGAAUGAACAAUUCUGUAUGCCUGGCGGUUCCCGUAUCAAAGUCAUUGCAGCUACAUCAUCGGUGGCCGCAUUUGUUGUUCUUUUGUUAACGGUGGCCACUGUGCUUUAUCUUUCACUCAAGACAAGAUAUAACGCGGAGAUACAUUUGAAGGUUGAAAUGUUUCUCAAGACAUAUGGAACAUCGAAACCCACGAGGUACACUUUCUCUCAAGUUAAGAAGAUGGCAAGACGGUUUAAGGAAAAAGUAGGGCAGGGAGGAUUUGGAAGUGUAUACAAAGGCGAGCUACCAAAUGGAGUGCCCGUGGCAGUCAAGAUGCUAGAGAACUCUAGAGGAGAGGGAGAAGUAUUCAUCAACGAAGUUGCAACAAUCGGACUAAUCCACCAUGCCAAUAUUGUCCGCCUCCUGGGAUUUUGUUCCGAAGGAAUGAGACGGGUUCUUAUUUACGAAUUCAUGCCUAACGAGUCACUGGAGAAAUACAUAUUCUCUGAUGACCCUAACAUUUUUCAGAACCUUCUGGUACCAGACAAGCUGCUAGAUAUUGCUUUAGGCAUCGCCAGAGGAAUGGAGUACCUGCAUCAAGGGUGCAACCAGCGCAUCCUCCACUUUGACAUCAAGCCUCACAAUAUCCUUCUCGACUACAACUUCAACCCAAAGAUCUCAGACUUUGGCCUUGCAAAGUUGUGCGCGAGGGACCAAAGCAUCGUCACCUUAACCGCAGCAAGAGGCACGAUGGGCUACAUUGCACCAGAGCUAUACUCUCGCAACUUUGGGGGAGUAUCGUACAAGUCAGACGUGUUCAGUUUCGGCAUGCUGGUGCUAGAGAUGGUGAGCGGAAGGAGGAACUCAGAUCCAAGUACUAAGAGUCGGAACGAUGUUUACCUCCCGGAGUGGAUCUACGAGAAAGUGAUCAAUGGGGAGGGUUGGCGCUUACUCUGGAAGCGACUCAAGAAGAGAAAGAGAAGGUGAGGCAGCUGGCGAUGGUGGCACUGUGGUGCAUCCAGUGGAACCCGAGAAACCGGCCGUCUAUGACAAAGGUUGUUAACAUGCUAACAGGGAGGCUGCAGAGUCUGCAGAUGCCACCAAAGCCGUUCGUCUCAUACGAAAACGAGCCUGUGUCGUAAUAAAUCAGAGGAGGGACUACAAUACUCUGUCAGCAUUCAGGGACUGGUAUAUAUACUCUGCCAACACUGCAUCUGGAGGUGUAUGAAUAAUCACUGGUCAGCGGUCACUACCACUGUAAUAGUAGUACGGUACAAUGCAAGAUACAGGAUUUGUAGUUGGACUUGUAUUUUAACAGCUACUCCCAUAUUUAUCUCUACAUAAGUUGCGAAUAGCUCGUGUAAAA